CUGACGCUGUAAAUCCGUGAGCCAGAGGCCAGGUUCAUUCUUGGGGUGUAACCAGCCGCAGAGGAGGUGGCCCGGAUGGUGCUCGGCGCCCUCAGAGACCCUGACCCUGUGGCACCGUCUGGCCUCAGAAGCCGGAUCCUAUGAUCCAUCCUGCUCGCUCUCUCCCUAGAUGAUGCCCGGGAUGAGGUGACAGGAUGGGGCAGGACGGGCUCCGAUAGAGACAUAUACGCUCUCCUCCCAUCCUGUAGAGGUGUAAAAACCGAAUCGGAUGGUCUCCCGACUCUGUGCAGGUUAAGGUUGGACUGCAGUAGCAUCUCUUUGUCCUCUCUAGUUUGUCUGCCGUUUUUCUUUGACAGGAUCAGUAACUUGUAGCCCAGAAACAGACAGUUCAGCAGGAGCAGAAUAACCACACAGGGUAUGAGCAAAAGCACCACUAAAGUCAGAUUAGUCACAGGGUAACCUUCAUUCAGAUUUGAUGCUGUGGUCUGACUUAUCUGCGACAUUUCAUCCCAUAGGACAUAAAGGAUGCUUUUUGGAGAAUAGCUGAUCUCAACUGAGGAUUCGCGAUGAUGUCUGAAUGCACAGACUGUCGGUGUUUACUAAGCAAAGGCUUGAUGUGAAAGGCAGCCACGAGGAUUACGGAUCAACAGAUCAUACUACAAGAUUACAACACUGCGUUGCCUGAGCAGCAUGCAGUGAAGCAAUGGAAACGGAAAUCGGUGUCACAGAGAUCCUACAUACAUGGCAACACUUCCUCUGCUGCAAUGCUUCGAACAUCCAAUGGAGGAUGGAAUAUCCUGAGGAUUCUCCUUUCGUCUCACAGGAAACAGCGGACAUAUAUGGUUUGAAACAUGUCGAGCCAGGAAUCAUGAUGCGCCAGAUCGCAGCUCUUACAUUCUAUUCACAGACUGAGCUGGAGAGAGUGAAUCAGAGCAGCCUCUUACACUGUGCUCAUUCUUCCUACCCACAGGAACAGUCUGACUCUGUGUAUGGACAGGUUUUCACACAUUCAAGCCGUCUCUCUCACAGAUACAGAGACAAAGUAACUGUCAGUCUCAGAGAUGAGAAUGCUAAUUAAAGGGCCAAGUUGUCAAAUGGUGAGAAGACAGACAGCCUGCAUGUAGCCUUUAAUGUUAUCACAUGCUCUGUAGAUGGAUUAAACAUCCACCAUCGAUCCACUUCAUGAACAUGGAGUAAUCCAUGUUCAUGUCAAACAUAGGGAUGUUCACCUGCAAUGGUAUACAUACAGUACAUGCCAGUUUUUAUGUAAAGGAACAGAAAUGAGUUAACAUCUAAAAACAAGAAUUUUCUUCAGGAAGAACCUUUCUGUUACUCCAAUUUUUGAAAAAUUGGAGGUCCCUCCAAGCAGACUCCCCCUGUUUUUAAUACACACAUUUUUUAGUGAUUAUAGUAAUGGGGGUAAUGUGGUAGUAAUGUGGGAGGCUCUUUGGUUCACCAUUUUACUCCAAAAUUAAAUAUUUUAACAACUUUUAAGCACAAGUUAAAGUUCUGUGCAAUUUGUAAACACAAUGGAGGCCCAUAUCUGCCAUUUUAAGGAAAUAAUUGAAAGCAUAGACUUGAAUGUAAGUGUAAUAAUAAAGACAUCACCUCUAUCAGUUAUAAGAAUGGGAAAAGUCAUGAAAAUUUGAAGAUCUAAGUCAUUGCUAUGAGACAAACUAUUACUACUUUUGGAUAAAAGUGGGAUAUCAAAUUGUACAAAUGAGAUGGGAAAAUUUAAUUAUGAGUUAAAAACCACACAGUAUUAAGUAUUGUAUUGUACUGUAUUAAUUCUUCAUCCAAUGUUUGUAAACUUUUGUCCAAAGAUAUGAAUUUUUAUUGUGUAAUCAUGAACAUUUCUCCUGUAGUUUUGAUUGAUUAUUAAAAAACUGUUGGUGACUAUUGGAAUAUUUUACAUUGUCUUGU